rnacentral:rRNA from 1 species
UUUAUGGAGAGUUUGAUCCUGGCUCAGGAUGAACGCUGGCGGCGUGCCUAAUACAUGCAAGUCGAGCGAACAGACGAGGAGCUUGCUCCUCUGACGUUAGCGGCGGACGGGUGAGUAACACGUGGAUAACCUACCUAUAAGACUGGGAUAACUUCGGGAAACCGGAGCUAAUACCGGAUAAUAUAUUGAACCGCAUGGUUCAAUAGUGAAAGACGGUUUUGCUGUCACUUAUAGAUGGAUCCGCGCCGCAUUAGCUAGUUGGUAAGGUAACGGCUUACCAAGGCAACGAUGCGUAGCCGACCUGAGAGGGUGAUCGGCCACACUGGAACUGAGACACGGUCCAGACUCCUACGGGAGGCAGCAGUAGGGAAUCUUCCGCAAUGGGCGAAAGCCUGACGGAGCAACGCCGCGUGAGUGAUGAAGGUCUUCGGAUCGUAAAACUCUGUUAUUAGGGAAGAACAAACGUGUAAGUAACU